rnacentral:rRNA from 1 species
AACGUAGGUGGCGAGCGUUAUCCGGAAUCACUGGGCGUAAAGGGCAUCUAGGCGGUCGUGUAAGUUGUUUGUGAAAGCCUUCGGCUCAACCGGGGGAGGACAGGCAAGACUGCACGGCUAGAGGGUCGGAGAGGGACGUGGAAUUCCCGGUGUAGUGGUGAAAUGCGUAGAGAUCGGGAGGAACACCAGUGGCGAAGGCGGCGUCCUGGCCGGACCCUGACGCUGAAGUGCGAAAGCGUGGGGAG